rnacentral:misc_RNA from 1 species
AUUGUAAACAAUAACUUUACUCGUUAUGUACUACAAGUAUAUAAUUAUUUAUAUUAGUUACUCCAGUUAGAUAAAACUAGUGGUGCAUCAAAUGCAUGUAAUAAGUAUUACAUAAAGUAGUGUAGUGAUGUAAUAUCAUGGACGCGGAUGACCCUAGAAGACCGCUACUUGGGCAUGCACCGGCCGAGCCGAGUCGCGUCCGUCGCGCCGCGACGAAGCUAUGCGGUUUGGAGUCUUGGAAGCGGCGGGUCCCCAUCACAACAUGGCUGCCGAACUACAAACUGGAGUAUCUGUUCCGGGACUUUAUAGCUGGUUUGACAGUGGGCUUAACCUCCAUUCCUCAAGGAAUCGCGUACGCCAUAAUAGCAGGACUGCCGCCUCAGGUGGGCCUAUACUCCAGCAUCUUCCCUGGCUUUGUAUACGCCAUAUUCGGCAGCUGUAAGGACGUGACCGUCGGCCCAACGGCCAUUUUGGCGGCUCUGCUUGCCAAAUAUGUCGCCAAAGCCGAGGCCUUCGCGUAUCUGGCUGCGUUCCUGUCUGGAUGUGUUAUUAUGCUACUAGGAGCGCUGCAAUUAGGGUUCCUGUUGGAUUUCAUUUCGAAGCCGGUGAUCAGCGGGUUUACAGCGGCGGCGGCGCUGCAGAUCGGCGCCGCUCAGCUCAAGUCCCUGUUCAGGCUGACAGGAUCGUCGGGCAGUACGUUUCUGGAGGCAGUGAUAAAUUUCUUCAAGAACAUAAAGACGAUACAUUUGUGGGACACCGUGCUAGGCGUCUCCUGUAUAGUGAUACUACUGCUUUUGAAACGCCUAAAGCUCUCAACAGACGAGCACUCGACGCGCGCGCGGCGGCGCCUAGCCAGUAUAUGUCUGCACAUCAUGCGCGCGAGAAACGCUCUCGUAGUGUUCGCGGCGGCUUUACUGGCGUAUCUACUGUCUCUGAAGGGGACUUUACCUUUUGCACUUACUGGUACGAUCAUGGGCGGGCUGCCACAUUUUGGUCCGCCGCCGUUUUCGACAACCGUUGGUAACCAAACGCUCGGCUUCCAAGACAUGCUGGUCGUCUUCGGGCCCGAGGGGUUCGUGAUGCCGCUAGUAGCUAUUCUGGAGAGCAUCGCUAUAGCUAGAGCUUUCGCUGGCAGCAAGCCCGUAGAUGGUACCCAGGAGAUGUUGGCCGUAGGGGCCUGUAACAUAGUGUCUUCCUUCUGCCAAGCCAUGCCGGCCACGGGGUCCUUUACUAGAACAGCGUUGAAUCACGCUUGUGGAGUGGUCACCCCCGCUGGCUCCAUGUUCAAAGCUCUACUAGUCCUUCUAUCAGUGACUCUACUAACCGACGCAUUCUAUUACAUCCCGCGCGCCGUGCUAGCGGCCGUCAUCAUAGUCGCUAUGAUGUCCAUUAUAGAGCUCGCUAUCAUACCGACUCUAUGGAGGAACAGCAAGCUGGAGCUUGUAGUGUAUGGUGUGACAGUGAUAGUGGGCUGCACGCUCGGGUUGGAGUACGGCAUCGCGGCCGGCGCGGGCGGAGACGCGGCGCGCGCGCUAGCGAGCAGCGCGAGACCCAACCUGCACCCGGCUGUCUUCAAGGUGGGGAACCAAUCUUGCAUCUCGCUCACACUGACGGGGUCGCUCGGGUACGCGAGCGCGGAGCACUGCGCUAGCGCGGCGCGGGCGCACGCGCGCGCGACGCCGCUCGUAGUCGUGCUAGACGGCCGGCUGCUGGUGACUGUGGACCUGGGGGUCGCUGAGAGUCUCCUCACAACCAUCUUAGACCUGGAAGAGCAGGGUCACCGGUUCUUGUUCUGGAACUUCUCGGCGCGCCACCGGAGACUGCUGCUGGAGCUGCAGCCUGCCUUCCAGGACAAGUUCGUGGCUGGACCCAGCAUAGACCAGCACAUACUAGCUUUAGACAUCCAAAGAAGACCAACGAUAGUAUACUGAAUGUAAAACACCCCUGUAGAGAAGAAAUCUACAACUGCAGCCUUACAUACGUUAUAUCUUAUUUAAAAUUGCAAAUGGGACUUUUAGCGGUAAGUACGUGGGAUUUUCGUUCCGGAGCCCCCGGAGGUCGCGAAUUCGAACCCCGGCUCGCACCAAUGAGUUUUUCGGAAUUUAUGUGCGAAAUGUCAUUUGAUAUUUGCCAGGCGGUUUUCGGCGAAGGAAAACAUCGUGAGGAAACUGGACUAAUUUCAAUAAGG